rnacentral:misc_RNA from 1 species
UCCGAGUUGUCCCCGGCAGUCUCCUUAGAGUCCCCGCCAUUACGCGCUGGCAACUAAGGACAGGGGUUGCGCUCGUUGCGGCACUUAAGCCAACACCUCACGGCACGAGCUGACGACUGCCAUGCAGCACCUGUCACUGGUCCAGCCGAACUGAAGGGGUGAGUCUCCUCUCCCCGCGACCAGGAUGUCAAAGGCUGGUAAGGUUCUGCGCGUUGCUUCGAAUUAAACCACAUGCUCCACCGCUUGUGCAGGCCCCCGUCAAUUUCUUUGAGUUUCAGUCUUGCGACCGUACUCCCCAGGCGGCGAACUUAACGCGUUAGCUUCGAUACUGGGCACCAAGUUGUGCCCAACAUCCAGUUCGCAUCGUUUAGGGCGUGGACUAC